AAGAUUUUUUUUCCUUUUUUUCCGGAAAGAGAAAUAGCAAUAAUACUGCGGCCUCUGUAUCUCGAUUAACUAUUGCAUAGUUACAAGAUCCAUGCUAGGCAUCUAGUCUAGCCUUAUCAAGCUCGCUCGGCUAAUUUAUUGGGAUAUCAAACCACCCCGCAAAUAACCUAAGUUCUUUGUAGGUUAUUUGUCAGUCGUCUGAGAAGUAACGACGCCAUAUAUCUGUAGAGCACACUAGUCACAAUAUCCCAGAUACAUACUGAAACGUAACACAAAAAGGGAAACCAAGCCAUGUACUCCCUCCGUUGCAUAAUUAUUGUCGUGGUUUUAGUUCAAAUUUGAAUUAAAACCACGACAAUAAUUCAAAUUUGAACUAAAACCACGACAAUAAUUAUGCAACGGAGGGAGUAAUCAAUUUACGCAGCUCGGUUAAUUCCAGAAGAAACUG
rnacentral:lncRNA from 1 species